CUUAGCGCCGCGACGCCUUACCUGCUAAGCUACCAAGGCGGGAUAAACGUAAUGCCAGUUAACGCGAGACAAGCUAUGGUAAUGCAUACUUUAUGUAUAGUGGGCUGGAUGUUCAGUACCGUGCACAUUUAUCGUGCAAGUCACACUGCGGUUAAUGCAGUGGUUUACCAGAGAGUUGUCGCUAACACCUAAACUGUGCGUACCCUUGUUUCAGACUUGGAGAAUGCUGCACACACGUGGCUGCCCUAUUAUUCAACAUAGAAGCAGCCAUAAAAUAUGGGCUGAAUGACCCGUCUCCAACUGAGACAGCGUGCAGGUGGUCUGAGGUAUCCAGGAAAUCUAUGGUGGCACCAGUCAGCGAGAUAAAUUUUUUCAAGGCAAAGCCUGGACAACAAGUUCCUGAACCUGCCCCAAGGCAACAAGGGUCUAUUCCAACAUGGAGCUCUGAUAAAAUACACAGCUUCUUGCAGCACGUCAAGACAUUUGCCCCCAGCACACUUGUGUUGAGUUGCAUAACAGACAGUGAAAGUACGGAUUCUUCUCCUGAGACUGCUGCAGAAGAAAGGAAGACCAACCACCAGCACUAUUCAUCGCGAUCAGCAAUAGAUGACAUUUACAGCAAUAUUGACUUGAAUACUGCAAAAAAUGUUCAGCUCAGUAACGAAUGCUGUGAAGAAAUUGAGCAGUCGACCCGUGGGCAAUCACGGACACUUAGAUGGACCCACGAACGCAAAGGUAGAAUAACGGCCUCAGUUUUACAUCGUGUGCUAGUUUGUCGAAGUGGGGUCAAUGGCAUUGUGGCUGAA